CCUACGGGAGGCUGCAGUGAGGAAUAUUGGUCAAUGGGCGGGAGCCUGAACCAGCCAAGCCGCGUGAGGGAAGAAGGUACAGCGUAUCGUAAACCUCUUUUGUCAGGGAACAAAGGCGGGGACUAGUCCCCGGAUGAGGGUACCUGAAGAAACAGCAUCGGCUAACUCCGUGCCAGCAGCCGCGGUAAUACGGAGGAGGCGAGCGUUAUCCGGAUUUAUUGGGUUUAAAGGGUGCGCAGGCGGCCUGUUAAGUCAGCGGUAAAAGCCCGGGGCUCAACCCCGGCGAGCCGUUGAAACUGGCGGGCUUGAGUUGGAGAGAAGUACGCGGAAUGCGCGGUGUAGCGGUGAAAUGCUUAGAUAUCGCGCAGAACCCCGAUUGCGAAGGCAGCGUACCGGCUCCACACUGACGCUGAGGCACGAAAGCGUGGGUAUCGAACAGGAUUAGAUACCCUUUAGUC
rnacentral:rRNA from 1 species